rnacentral:misc_RNA from 1 species
UGGAAAAUUAAACUCUUCAUCCCAUACGGGACACCAGUCAUCCUCCAGUAUCCUUGUCUUUUUCUUACGACUAUCUGCAGGAACUCCAACUAAAUAUAGCUUUGUGUAGAAGUCUGGUGGUGAAUAGGCAUCAAAAUGUGUGUGGCUGAAAUCCAAGCGCCACCCAUCUCCCAUAUAUACUCUAACCUGUAAAGUUUGCUUCACUGGCAAUUUUACUUUAGGAUCAAAUACCUCAUUGUUUGGGCCUUUAUCCAUGAGAAAUUGAGGUUUUUUCACAUAGCCACAGCUUCCAUUAGACCUAAACAUCCCG